rnacentral:misc_RNA from 1 species
GUAAAACCAAAACAUAGUACUUGGUAGUUUGAUAUUAGGAGAUAAACAGGAUAUUAGGAACAUUGGCUGAAUGGAAAUAGAGUGCCCUGCUCAUUAGUAUCACAUAUUAACCUUAGUCCCUUUCAUUAUCAUCGUGAAGUGAAAUCCUGUCCAUGAUAUUGGCCACCACCUCUUUGGACUCCUUGAGAAGCUUGACACUCUUUU